rnacentral:rRNA from 1 species
ACGAACGCUGGCGGCGUGCUUAACACAUGCCAGUCGAACGGAAAGGCCCCUUUGGGGGUACUCGAGUGGCGAACGGGUGAGUAACACGUGAGUAACCUGCCCUUGACUUCGGGAUAACUUCAGGAAACUGGGGCUAAUACCGGAUAGGAAUCCUUGCUGCAUGGUGGGGGUUGGAAAGCUUCGGCGGUUUUGGAUGGACUCGCGGCUUAUCAGCUUGUUGGUGGGGUAGUGGCUUACCAAGGCUUUGACGGGUAGCCGGCCUGAGAGGGCGACCGGCCACAUUGGGACUGAGAUACGGCCCAGACUCCUACGGGAGGCAGCAGUGGGGAAUAUUGCACAAUGGGCGGAAGCCUGAUGCAGCAACGCCGCGUGCGGGAUGACGGCCUUCGGGUUGUAAACCGCUUUCAGCAGGGGCGAAGCUUGUGGUGACGGUACCUGCAGAAGAAGCACCGGCUAACUACGUG